rnacentral:tRNA from 3 species
CAUAAACACUAAAAUAUAAUUAUUUAAAUAUAAGUAUAAAAAUAUAAUGAUUUUGUAAAAAUUUA